UGUUGAGUGUCUAACCACUAACUACUUAUGCAGAAACAAGGACUGCAGAGGAGGGAGCUCACCAGAUCAUCACUUCUUUCUCUGUCCAAAAGGAGAAAUCAGAAGACGUGAGGCAGAUAAAAGCAUUAGAGAAAACAGGAUGAAGAGAACGUUUACAGAAGAGCAAGAACAGCUUAUGUCUGAUCUCUCACCUGAAAUGGCAGAAAAGUUCAAAAGAGCCUUCUCAAAUGUGGCUGCUGCAACAAAUCAGAUUGACAGUGGACAACGCAGCCUCAUGGAAAGAAGACUUGAAAGCAGAGAAUUACCAGUCAUCCUGAUGUUGUUGGAAAUCACUGCCAAUGCGGGCCAGAAAAUUGGAACCUUGAUAGACUUGGCAUCUGACACUAAUUACAUCACUCAUAAAGCUGCCAGGAGACUAAACCUGAAAAGUGAGAAGAUCACACUAGUUGUCCAUGGAGUUGGAGGGAUGACUACAAAAGUAAAGACAAGAAGAUACCUUUUAAGAGUCAGAGUCAAAACCCCCCAGAGAACACAGAAGGCUCAUCAACUCAUCUGCUACGGCCUUAACGAGAUUGUCAAAGUAAAUCAAGUUAUUCAACCAGAGCAGCUGAGGAAGUUCUUCCCGGAUACUUAACUGGAGGAUCUGAGAAGACCAGGAACCAUAGACCUUCUCAUCAGUCACAGAGAAGGGAGACUGGCCCCUCAAAGACUGAAGAUGGUAGGAGAUCUUGUUCUCUGGGAUAGUCCUCUGGGGAAAACUGUGGGUGGGGCUCACCCUGACCUCUUUGAAGGUGUUGAUGUCACAGCUCACAAUUGCAAAACACACUUUGCCCGCUCCAUGAGAACAACUGCAGUGAAGUACAUGGAAAUCCCCAGUGCACCUAACAGUAGGACAGCAGUUGCUGCCAGAGAGUUCCUGGACUCGUGGAAAUGGGAGAGUGUUGGGGCAGCCUGUGAGCCCAAGUGUGGAGGAUGUCUCUGUGGUAGGGUUAGGGUUAGGAGUAUUGAAAUAGACACAGAUGACUCUCCCCGCUUUCGUCCGUGGACUAGGCAGUUUGGUGUGGAGAGCCAGCGGCAAUGCACGGGCCGACGCAUGUCACUCAUGUUCCCUGAUACUUGAGUCACUUUGCAAGAGUAAUAGAGGUACAUAUGGAAAGGCACAGAUAAGAAUUAAAUGUACACAUGAUCUUAGAUGUUUCAGACUAGUUCCUGUAUUGGUUGAGUUUAGAAAGAGCUAUGGGUUGGGUUGUAAUGGUGACUAGGUUUGGUCAACUCUUUAGGUGAGAUUAUGAACUGAGGUUGUUGGGGUAGGAGAGAGACCAGGUCGGAGUUGGUUCUGGAGUUGGCUCUCUAGGUUUGGUUAGCUUAAAGGUUUAGGCAAAUAGACACCAUGGUUAGAAAAGAAAAGAUUGGAUCCCGCCAUCCCGAAGGGAUGGAGGGAUCAGAUGCACUCUCCAUCCAGGCGGGUACCGGGAGGCCCACAUCCACCGGCCGCAUCACCUGCAUCCCACACCGUAACUGUCAUGGACCUCACGACUGCAAAAACACAACUGAACAUAAUCUUCAUUAUGGUGAUACAUUAAAUGAACCUAUGCAAUUAUAUCCACACAUAUCAAACAUUUAUAAAUCUGUGUUCCCUUUCUUACAAUUUGUAAGCGUUUUAUACCCAUUUUUUGUAUAAAUAUCUUGGUUUUAUUCUGGGAGAUGGGUUUGAUGGUGCUUAAAAUGCGAUGUGGAAUCAUCGGAUGGUUAUAAUAGGCAUGAUUCUGAAGGUGGUUAUGGUGUAGUCUGGGUCUAAAAAUAAAAAAUUAAUAACUUAGAAGUAAUUAGGGUUAGGCAAAAACCUGGGGGUGGUUAUGAUUAGGGUUAGAAAAGACAAGAUUGGAUGCCUCCAUCUCCAAGAGAUAGGGUUAGGGUUAGGGGUUAGGUGAAGGAUUGGAUCAGGGUUAUUUGUUAUCUGUGUGGAUCUCAGGUGCGCUGGCUCAGGUGGCUGAAGGAGGCAUGGAAGAUGAAUACCUUUUCUUAUGAUCGGACGGACGACCCAUCUUCCAAAACAGGAGCAAGCUAAUAGCCUAGAGAUUGACCAAGACAAAUAGAAUUUUUUUUUUUUUUUUUUUUUUUUUUUUUUUUUUCAAAUAAAUAUAAAA